GGGGCUGUAGCUCAGUUGGGAGAGCACCUGCUUUGCAAGCAGGGGGUCGUCGGUUCAAGUCCGUCCAGCUCCA
rnacentral:tRNA from 1 species